rnacentral:pre_miRNA from 1 species
GCCGGAGGCUUUCCCAGCCACCGGCGAGGCUCGGCCUCCCAGAUCUGGCGAGGCCGAGCCUCGCCGGUGGCCAGGCAGGCCUCGCCG